rnacentral:rRNA from 1 species
UACAGAGGUGGCAAGCGUUGUUCGGAAUUACUGGGCGUAAAGGGCGCGUAGGCGGCCUUCUUAGUCGGACGUGAAAUCCCCAGGCUCAACUUGGGAACUGCGUCCGAUACUGGAUGGCUUGAGUGCGGGAGAGGGAUGUGGAAUUCCAGGUGUAGCGGUGAAAUGCGUAGAUAUCUGGAGGAACACCGGUGGCGAAGGCGGCAUCCUGGACCAAUAUUGACGCUGAGGAGCGAAAGCCAGGGGAGCAAACGGG